rnacentral:rRNA from 1 species
GAUGAACGCUGGCGGCGUGCCUAAUACAUGCAAGUCGAGCGAAUGGAUUAAGAGCUUGCUCUUAUGAAGUUAGCGGCGGACGGGUGAGUAACACGUGGGUAACCUGCCCAUAAGACUGGGAUAACUCCGGGAAACCGGGGCUAAUACCGGAUAACAUUUUGAACCGCAUGGUUCGAAAUUGAAAGGCGGCUUCGGCUGUCACUUAUGGAUGGACCCGCGUCGCAUUAGCUAGUUGGUGAGGUAACGGCUCACCAAGGCAACGAUGCGUAGCCGACCUGAGAGGGUGAUCGGCCACACUGGGACUGAGACACGGCCCAGACUCCUACGGGAGGCAGCAGUAGGGAAUCGUCCGCAAUGGACGAAAGUCUGACGGAGCAACGCCGCGUGAGUGAUGAAGGCUUUCGGGUCGUAAAACUCUGUUGUUAGGGAAGAACAAGUGCUAGUUGAAUAAGCUGGCACCUUGACGGUACCUAGCCAGAAAGCCACGGCUAACUACGUGCCAGCAGCCGCCGCAG